rnacentral:misc_RNA from 1 species
GCCACCAUCAUAAACCAAUAGAGAAUUCAAAGAAUCACAAUUCUCUGCCAAUCUUAAUAGAACCCCAUCAACUAUACUCCUGCAAGUCCUAAGCUCCAGUUCUUGGAGACCCUUCAAGCACCUGAUAAAUGAUAAGAAAGACCCUCCAUCACCAAUACCUUCGCAGCUCUUUAGCUGCAAUUUCUUCAGCUUUUUGCAGCUCCUCCAUAGCCAACCGAAACCAGAAUCAUCUCUUUUAAUCCCUGAUAAAUAAAGACUCUCCAAACCCAACUCUGCAUCAAUUUCUUGAUUUAAACACAAAUCAGAUUCCCUAUUGCUAUAAAAUUCAUC